rnacentral:rRNA from 1 species
AUGGGGCGUUCGAAGCAAAGCGUGGAUGAGACGGAUCUGGCAGAACUGCUGCAUCUCAAGGAGGAUGUUGCGGCCAAUCGGGAAGAGACCACAGGGUUGCGAGAGGAGGUGGAUUUGCUGCGGAAGGACAUCCAGGCUACCAACUUCAAGCAGGAUACGAUGACAAAGGUGAUUUCCGGGGUGCAAGCAGCAGUAGCAGCACUUGGAGGACAGCUCACAAUGAUCACAGAAGUGCUCAAAACUCUCAGCGCAGCAGCCCCAUCCACAUCAGUGGUUCCUCCUUCAACAGCACACGCCCAAGAGCCACAUCAGGAAAAAUCCCCAGAAGUUGAGGAAAUUCAGAAGGAAGGGGGGGACGAACAGCAGCGUCCUCUCGCUGAAGAACUUAAGAGGAGAUUAUUCAUGGAGCAAGAGAAAACUAGUCCGUUUGCACUGUUAACAGGCAACGAACUGCCUCCUAUCCAGACUGACAGACGAUCAGCUCCACCGGGGCUUUGGACCGCUACAAUUUCAAGAUAG